rnacentral:miRNA from 1 species
UAUUAUAAGGUUUGUAGCAAGGUUGUUCCAACAAGUCCGAUAAAGACAUGACAUAACAAUAUUGUUACAACCUUGUGUCGUCAACCUUGUAACAUUCGUGUUAUAUCAUGACUGUAUCAGACUUGUUAGGACAACCUUGUAACAAAUCUGAUAAUG